AAUAGCUUAUAUUUCAAGAAUUAUUAAAAUUAGGCAAUCUUGCUUCUGAAAUUGGAACCAAAAUAGCUUUUAUGUACACAGGAGGAAGUUUAAAGAGGCAAUCUAUUUGUUUGGACUGAAGCCUGAUUCACUAUAAAGGCGAACAUCUUCAAUCUCACGCUCCUUCAUCUUCUGCCUAAUACACACAAGUAUCCUUUCAUAAAUAAGCUCAGGCGUGGGUCAUUAAUAACCGGAGAAAGUCAUUACAUCUCUUCCGUAUGCUGAAUAAUUGAGCUGCUGGUUGCCUUGUGCGCUCACUGUAAAUAUGCUCAUAAGCUCAAUUUUGGCUGGCCGUGCAUCGAGCGAGGACACAUCAGUCUAAUCAGGCUCCAGCUCCUCCUCCUCCUCCUCUUCCUCUUCCUCUUCCUCCUGCUGCUGCUGCAGAGCGACGACGCCACAACCUUCAUCCUCGCACUUUUGGCUCGGGGACAUCACAACCUGAACAAACGGUAGUUAAUUGGAUUAGUGGGCCGGAUUCUGUGCUCUUAACGCCGUCCUCGCACAGACAGGAGUCGCACACCUUUGAUCUCCGAAGAGGCAAACACAGCCUGUUAACACGGCUGAACAAAUCAGAGGGCAGAGCAGCUACAAGCGCAGGUGUUCAGUUGUGUUGAGAUGUGGUGACUGAUGCGCACCAGUGACCCCUGUUGCCCUGCGGAUGGGGAGCGUCGUCGUCCUGGAAGAAACCACUCCCAUCAGGAUUGGAAGAGUUUCAUCACAGGAUCAAGGUACACUUUGAAUUCACCGCCCACACUGUUUGCAGUGAUUGUGAGCACUGACACCAUCUGGCAUUAAGUGAAGAAGUCUGAGAAACAUGGCUUCUGCCAAGGACAACCUGGGGCAAGUGCAUUAUGGUUGAAGAUAGGUUUACAGUGUUUAAUAGAUCAGCACAGUUCCAGGAAUCUGACCGUCCACCUGAGGCCGCUGACGAGGGUCAAACAAGUCAGCGGAGAGAAAUGUUGAGGUUUAAUCAACAAGCAGUGAAGUGUUGAAGGGUAACAAGAAAAAUUCGUGCCAUGAGCAAAUGUGUUUGUGGCGGGGAAAAAAAUGAGGUGGUAGCCAUGUUUGUGAUUUCCAUUUUUACUACAGUCCCCUCUCUAAUCCAACUGCCAAGUCAUUUUCUGUUGAUGGUUCACUUUAAUGUCAAAACUCUUCGUCUGCAGGCUUGAAAAAUUUGCAUGCUAGGUAUCGGUUAUUCCCCCAAGUCACAAUCCUCAUAAAACUCGUUGCCUCCCCUCCCUUUGCCCCCUGCGCAGGUGACAAGCUAAAAUGAGAGAUAGCUCCAUUUGCUUCCUAUAGCUAAUUGGAUUAGUGCUUAAGGCACUACAAUAAUGGCUGAAUUUAGAGAGGCAGGCGGAGAGAAUGGGGGAGUGGGGAGCGGAGUGGUAGAGCCAAUUUUCCAGUGAAAUGAGCUUUGCUCCAGGUGAAGAGAAAACUCCUGCAGAGAAAUAGAGAAGCUCUGUGUUGGGAGAUUUUAUGCUACCAGACGCAGUAAUGUGUCACAGAAUUUACAUUCAGUGCAUGACGAGAAGAGCACAUAGUUGUAAAAGUCAUGUUUAUACCGUUGUCACAAUCCCAGCAAAUUAAUUACACGUUGUAAUAGGAGAUGAUUGUGUCCCUUUUAUAUCAUGGCCAUGGAUAAUACUUGCUUCUGAUUAGCUGGAGGGUGUGCAUCAAUUUUAGAUAACGAUGCAGCUAUGACAAACCACCUUUUAUUGCUGUUAGAAAUUUAUAUUCAAAGGUACAUUUUAAGGCUUUUUGUAAACACCAAACUUGUUCAUAGUCAGUUUCUUGCCAAAACUCUUUGGUGUUUUUCCUUAAGGCCUAACAAACAAGCUAAAUGCAUUUUGUUCCUCAUAAUGCAAAGCCAAGCAUUUGAAUUGUUUUCAUUCUCUCUUCUACCACUAACUUGAUGAAUCAUUGAAACAGUGCCACCAACUGCUGCCUCCAACAGCAUUGCGUAACCAUAACCUCCACAGUCAGUAUAUAUGAACAUCAUGGAUUACCUUUAUUAUCUAAAGGUGUAUGUCUGAGUUUUUUGUGACUAUGCUUUUUUAAUACAAAUGAGUGAUAAAAUAUUAUUUUUAUGUUACAAUUAUGUUGGGGGGGGGGUAUGCAUGUUUGAUGCUGUCUUCCACAGUGCCAUUUUUGAUGAUACCACUGGAGGGUGCCAAAGUGAGCAAUUUUCAAAUCCUACUGCUGGCUUUUAAUAUUUGACAAAAAAUAUUGUUUUUCAGUGCAUCCUGUGGUGAAAAUAUCUUUCUUAAAGCUGAGUUCAGUCAUCAUUAUUUCUGUUCAAAUGCUUCCAAAAUCUUCCUGCACCCUGGCACCCUUAGCAGUAACCAGGGCAAAGUGAUGUUGAUAUGAUGUGUGUUUAAAUUUGAUAAGACAUGAUUAAGAAAAACCUUAACAAGCAUAUAGAACUUUAAGAAACAUGUUGUUUUAAUAAAAUUAUAUUUUACUAUGAGUGUUUCAUGAAACUUCUAUCUAUCAUAUAAAGAAAGGAUGUAUAUAUGUCAUAAUAAUAUAUCCUCUUAUAGGUAACAUAUAUGGUAACAUCACUCUUGAUACAGGGGCAUGUAUAUCAUCAAAACGUCAUUAUAUAAUAUUAAAUAAAAACGUCAUAGUAAAGUAAGGCAUAACAACGUGAUAAAAAACAUAGUAUGGUAAGGCAUAAAAAUGUCAUUGUUACAUUCUCCCCCUCAUAGGUGAAUGUAGUUGUGUGUUGUUGUGCAGGCCUCACCCCUGGAUCCUCCCUCCUUAUUGGUGGAACUGCAGCUGAUUAGUCACCUGGGCUAUAUAAAGGACUGAGGGGCUGCAUGUCACCCUCUCUCCGCCAUGAUACCUGUUUCCUGCCUGCCUACCUGUUUGUGUGAUUUGUGAAUGCACGUUCUGUGUCCUGCAGUACUUUUUGUUUGAAAAAUUUGUUUAACUCUGUAAGUAAGAAGAAACCAAGAAACCUGUAGGGGAGGGCUGCCAUUUUGUUUUAUUUCAGUUUGUUUUUUUCUCCUGUUUUAUGAGAUUGUCAGGGAGGUCAGAAUUGUAAACUUUUCUUUUGUUAGUUUCAUAUUCGUGUUUUUUUUGUUGUUGUUCUUAGUAGGAUCAACCGGCUUGUUAUUUUGGCCUUGGCUCUCCCUGACAUUACACUGUGCUUAAGGUUGGCAAUAAAGCUUUGAAAUCCUGGACCUUGUGACCAACUUCUUGGAGUAAUGAGGCAUAAAAAACUUCUUUGUAUAGUAAGGCAUAAAAAUAUAAAAAAACAUUGUCAUACUAUAGUAAGACAUGAAAAUGUAAAAAAAACGCCAUAGUAUAGUAAGACAUAAAAACA